rnacentral:rRNA from 1 species
CACGUAGGGUGCGAGCGUUGUCCGGAAUUAUUGGGCGUAAAGAGCUCGUAGGCGGUGUGUCGCGUCGGCCGUGAAAACCUGCAGCUUAACUGUGGGCUUGCGGUCGAUACGGGCAUCACUGGAGUUCGGCAGGGGAGACUGGAAUUCCUGGUGUAGCGGUGAAAUGCGCAGAUAUCAGGAGGAACACCGGUGGCGAAGGCGGGUCUCUGGGCCGAGUACUGACGC